CGUUCUGUCCUGUUCGACCUUACUCCUGCGAAACGGGUCAGGCCUUGAUCGGAGCAGCCCUAAACAGGAAUUAAGGUGCUUGCAGGGGUGCGGAACCGA
rnacentral:SRP_RNA from 1 species